rnacentral:lncRNA from 1 species
CUGGAAGUUCACUCACCAAAGUGUUUUUCAAAUCCAAAAUCUCUAAACUGAGAAGAUUUCCAAUGGACUUGGGAAUUAUUUUUACUUCUGUAUUUUUCACACUCAAGUAGUGUAAAUUGAAUAAGUUUCCCACUCCUUCAGGAAGGUAAUCUAUAGGAGAAUCUUCCAGAUCUAGUACUUUCAUGAGCUUGAAAUUGGCAAUACUUGUUUUCAUGAAAGAGUUGGGCAGCUUAUCUAUAUUGAAAAGAAAAACAGUACGGACCUUCGAGUGCUUGAUGCUCUCUAAAGCACCAUCAUCAAUACUUCUCUGUAUAGUUAUUCGUCGAGUUUUACUGCAAUGACUCAAGUCCACUCCGUUCAGCACACGACCGAAGCCCAAUUCUUCAGUUUUUCUGAUGACGAUCUCGUGCAUAAGAUCAUGAACUUGGCAGAUACUAGCUCGCCCAGAAAUAUCUCUCUCUGAAACUUGAACCAAGCUUCUGUCAACGAGCUCAUUCAAGUAUUCUUCUGCAACCUGUUCAGAUGUGGUGCGUUUGCUGUACUGGACAAAGCCCUCAGCUAUCCACAAACGGAUAAGUUUGGAAACCAACCUGCUUCAAAGUGAAAAAGCUCGUAGUUGUAUGUCCCCCCGAGUCUAAGUUCCAAUAAAUUAGGCAAGGCGUGAAGGACUCUGAUUGGAUCCUCAGUCAAUCCCGACAAGUCCAAACCCACUCUGAUUACAUUUUUUAGUUUAAUAAUCCAAUCCGGCAGUUUCUUCAUAUUCCCCGUCAAGUAGAGACGCUGCAGAUAUUGAGGAGGACUACUCAAAGACUGCAAGUCAAGUAUUUCUUCUUUGCUUGCCAUUAACACUGUUAAAGACUCUAGGUUUUCCAAAUUUGCAAUCAAAGCACACACAUCCUUGCCAUUUCCAUUUUGGGGCCUAAUGCCCAACUUUCUUAACUGCCUUAGCUUCAUAAGCUCGUCAAGCGCUUGAGAGUCAGCUUCUAUAAUAGACAACUUCUGCAGAUCCGUUAGCGACCCAAGCCCCCGGUGUACUUUGGCUACUGCUGCUCCUGCUAUACUAGAACCUGAGGUAUAAUUGUACUGAUACACCAUUAGAUAACGCAACUUUUUAAGAUUCCUGAUCUCUACUGGAAGUUCACUCACCAAAGUGUUUUUCAAAUCCAAAAUCUCUAAACUGAGAAGAUUUCCAAUGGACUUGGGAAUUAUUUUUACUUCUGUAUUUUUCACACUCAAGUAGUGUAAAUUGAAUAAGUUUCCCACUCCUUCAGGAAGGUAAUCUAUAGGAGAAUCUUCCAGAUCUAGUACUUUCAUGAGCUUGAAAUUGGCAAUACUUGUUUUCAUGAAAGAGUUGGGCAGCUUAUCUAUAUUGAAAAGAAAAACAGUACGGACCUUCGAGUGCUUGAUGCUCUCUAAAGCACCAU